ensembl:lncRNA
AUCGCCUGAUCCGUGGUUUCGCUGAGAAUCUGGGAUUAAAAUGGCCAUCCGAUACAUCAAGCACAAGUACCUGUGGAUUUAUGUUUUAAAUUAUGAGAAACAGUAGAAACAAAGCAAUAAUGGAGAAUUCACCCGUGGCGAAUUUGGAGGGACAUCAAUCUUGGACAGGUCCAGGAUUACAGAACAUUGCCUUCUCAACACAGGAGCAAACCUCAGAAAGCUCUGCUCUGUCAGCCAGCGGCUCAGUCGACCGCAGAGGGGAUGAUUGCCUGCCUGAAGCCCAAAGCACGCUGUGGGAGUCGGAUGAAGACGUACACAGGCAUAAAGAGAGUAUUAGUUGUGUCAGUCCUGACAAUGUUGAAUCCAAUGAAGCUUUGUGCUUACGGGACCCUGAACAGUCAACCGUUCCCAGUGAAGCACCCUUGGACAUCUGCCCACUGGCCUCAGCCCAACUUCAGGAUGCAGGUAUUGUGUCCAUAUUACCUUGGGCAAAGGACAACUGCUGUUCGGAUCCUGUUCUGGUUACAGAGGACCAGGUGGUUCAGAAUCAUACUGGUCGGACGACAGAUCUAAAUUUUGGAUGUGAAAAGACACCCUUAAAGCCGUUGGAGACAACGUCAAAUGGCCAUGCCUUCAUGCCUCCUGGGGACCCGUUCCCCGUCCUCAAUCUGGGAUCCACUCCCAUCCUCGCUGUCCCUUCAACUGUCCCUGAUCUUGGCCUGAGAGUCCUUGAUCUCCCGCGCAUUGUCAAGUACAAACCGAGCUCCAUCACCUUCUCACAUUCCACUUGUCCCUCUGGAGCUGACGGACGUGCCUUUGUCCACGACAGUUCCGACAACGGAGAGUCGUCGCUGGAGGAGGAGGAGGAGGAUGAUGAUGGUGAUGAUCACAAUGAUGAUGGUGGUGAUGACGGCGACGACGACGACGUGUUCUCAGAGUGUCCUCAGAGCAGAGAGUACGUUGUCAAUCGCAGACAGAGGAGCGCAGGUGUAGACAAAGAGAAGAGGAGAGCGGUCCUGAACGCCAAAGCAGGAAUCGACCACACGGCCAAUCACUGGGGUUCUCAAGCAGAGGGAGAGACCAGCAGUAAGGAGGAGUCUGCGCAGGUCACGUCUCCCUGGUCAGAGUCAAUGAGCCAGCUGAUGAGGAAACUGGACCAGCUUAAUCUAGACAUAGAGGAGGCGCUGAGUGCAAACACCUCUCCCUGCAACACACCCUGCACCGCCCGCAAGCAACAGUGUGGAGCUGUUUCUAAGUCCACCUUGAACCAAGCGCCGGACCACCAAGUCCUCAAACAGCCAGGCAGAGGAGAAUGUCCGAGCCGAGACCGGUCCUCUGCUCCUCGCAGCGCCUCGAUGGGAACAAGAGCAACGACCAGGAAGACGGUGAGUUUUAUUUGGGAUUAACAUAUUCCUGCAGAGGCCCCUGCGGUUUGUAAUGUUGUCAACCUCUGAUCUUCGCAUCAUUCCUUCAAGUUAAUCUCCACAACUGGCUGCACAUGUUUAAUUUUUUCUAACUCAAAUCUGGCUUAAGCAUUUGCUUACAUCCUGAACGUCAAGUCCUUCUCCCGGCCAACUCUAAAAGUUCUUGUCUUUCCGUGGAUGAAACUGAAAACAAUCAAAUGAAAGUCAGUUGAAUCGUUUAGUCUCCUGUUGCUGAACAUAUGAGCAUAUAUAAAAUAUGCUGUCUUUCUCCCCAGAUGCUAAAUGCUAUUAAUGUUUGUACUUCUUUUUUGUUAAAAAAUAGAUAAAUUAAAUGAAAUGGGAUGAAAUUCUCCUUUUAAAAUAUAUAUGAUACUUUCUUAUCAGUUUACUGAAAAAAAGUCAUACCGUGAAAACAAAAUUUCACAAUCCCAUAUUUGGACGCUGUGUCAUGAUCGCUGUGUCGACAGGGGACACAAAAGAAAAGAUUUCUUCAGGGAAAUCCAUCUCCAGUCAGCUGAAAUUCCCGUCUGUUCAGCUGCUCUUCCCUCUACAUCAGUAAAUAUUUGAGUUGUCUGUUGAGAAUAAGGUGAGCUUUGGCAUUCUUAAACAAGCACAACUCACUUCUGCUGGACAAAGUAUAUAAUUGUCACUAUUCAGCGACCCUUAAAGAGACAGACAACGGAGAGAUUUGCAGAAUUCAGGGCGGGUUUAAAUCCAAAGCCUUUCAGCUCGGGCUUUGUGCGGAUGCUCUGUGCUUGACGGCUCUGCUGCAAUGGUUUGGCAAACAAACUGCUCGGAAGAGAAAACUCCAGAGGUGCGGUCGGACUCUCUUACACUCUCCAAUUUAAUUUGGUGAUAUCAUUUUAUGCCAUCUUACCGUGUCAUAUUUUUGAUGCUAUACUUUUUAGACCACAGUUAGUUGGAAUCACGUAGAAGUUGUUCCGAUGAGAAAGAGUUCAGCCUCAAAAGUUAAAGGAGGUCAUUUUUUCCUGUGAGCACUGAGUUUGAAUGAAAAUCAUGCUUAUUUCUCAGAACUGUCUUUUUCAUGGAAACCAUAAUUGAAAAUAACAGCAACAUGGGUUAAAGUUUGGAUGAGGACAGCUGGGAAUGUACACAUGUUACAGUCAAGGGUAUUUUGACUGCAGUACAACCUUGAAUAUAAUGAGAUCUCAUGUUAAAAGAGCCUGGCUCUGUAGUGGUAACCCGAUCCACCAGCAACACCUGCACGCAAAUUAACAUUUUCCCCAAAAUAUCCAACUAUUCCUUCAUGUUUGUUCACUGGCUUCAGCGUGACCCUGUAAAGUUUCCCAAAACAGAUGAGAUGAAAUGUCAGCAGCUUUGCAUGUGCAAAGAGUUCCUCCCCCGAGUCUUCCGUGAGAGCUGUGCAGUCCGUAUGAAACUUCGGGCAGCAGUGAGCAAGAAUGCGAAACGGAUUGAAUCACAGUCUCUGAGUCUAAGAAUAAACAGUACAACCUGCCUGAACAGCAGGUAUGGAUUCAAUGUGUCUGGUUAAGGUUUUUGCCACCUGUCCGACAACCUCUGACUUCCCAACUUCUGGCUGGUCUCUAAAAACUGGAAUGCGGCUCAUACAGUAUCUCCCUCAAUCUGCUGCACAUCAUGCAGGCACAGCUAACCUUGGAAUUUGUUCAUGUUUACUGAGAUUUUGUCUCAUGGAGGGAGGACGUGUAUGUUUAUAUACAAUAAGUUUGUCUAUUCAUCAUAGAAUUACUUACACAAUAUUUAAAGGUAUAUGUAUAUUCAAGCCUGAAGAGCUGCAAGUCUUCAAAUUAUGCAGCUGUAUUGUCAAACAGUCUACUGACCAUAUUAACGGGAUUAUCAGUAGCUGCUUCAAGUUGAAUUAGCAACGGGUCUAAUUGGCGGAGCUGCAAGGCAAAGGUCCGCUACUGGCCCGCAAGCCAGUAAAGCCACAACUAGGUCUGCAAAUGGAUUUGUCUGAUUCUGCUGGGAAUUGGACCCUUUGAAAUACAUUCAGAAUAACCUCAUACAAGUAGCCAAUAUUCAUGCUGACGGUCUCAUUUGCUUUAGUCAUAUAGAGUUUUCCAAAACAGUCAAAAGUUCCUUUUAGUAACUACAUAUCUAGAUUUGAACUAUUUGUCCUACAAGACAAGCAAUUUGAAAACAUAAUAUUGGGCUUGGUAUAAAUAUAAUGGCAAUUUUUCAGUAUUUUCUAAAAAGUUAACUUAUUAGUAUUCAGUUUGAGGAUUCUUUCUUUAAUCGGUGUUGACAGAGACGGCCGGCACACACUGCGUCAUUCGGUCCGACCGGUCCCGUAACUGCCCUGUUGACUCAGUCAAGGUGUCAUUUUUGCUGGGACAGCCGCAAUCGUUCACCCACACGGACCUGUCCCUCCAUGUAAACAUAGUCGCUGGUGAAAGCGAAUACAAGCGCUUUUAAAGCUGCUCCUGCUUGGACGUUGUCACUUUUCCUGACCUGCGGCCUUUGUGUCCACUAUCGGACUGCCACUGAACUGAACUACGCCGAUGCGUAAAAAGUUGGUCAGCGUUCUACGCGUGCCGGGAUUCUCUUGACUUAAUAAAAGAGAGUGUGUUGGAGUCUUUGAAGCUGCAGGCACAUCUCCACUGGGGCCCGGCAUCGGGUUUUCAGGGCGCUAAUUAUUGCAAGUUUAUUUCUGAAACUGGGUCUAAAGCUAGUCCGUGGGGACUGACUGAUCAGGCCCAUUGCAUUCACCUCCCUCCAAUGAAACAUGUGGGUUUUGGACACGCGAUGACAUUCUGCCGGAAUGAGGAAUACAUCAGUGGCUGCCCCUCACAGUUUUCAGAGACCCCACUCACAUCUUUAUCUUUCAUAUUUAAACAGAGGUCCAAAUACAUAUGAGUCAUAAUUUUGUGGCUUGUUUCCUUUUUAAGAGUCAUGUGCGUAACGUAGCAAACGCAUGAAAACCUUUAGUGGUUUAAUAUAACCGCCCAGAAAUGACGUCUGCGCCGGGGGAAAAACAUGUGAACAGUCUGAUUUAAGCAAGAGCGUAAAUCAGACCAUGAGGCUCUGGGGGAAACCAAAAAGAUUGGCAAGGGAGGAGAGGUGAUCGUGGCCCAUAUCAGGGAGACACUCUCACUGCUCUGGCCAAGGGAAAUCAUGUAUCACCUGCUAAAUUAACCACUAACAUCAAAGAUCACCCAGUGCAUAGAUUGUAUAUAAGAAGGAGGCGUAGUCACCAGGACGGCACCCAUUGGUUUUCAAGCCUUACGGACGCCGUUUUAUUCGGCUCUGUAAGCCACAAAUCACAAGGUGGCCUCGCUUUAAAAUGUACAAUGCUCUAUGGUGAAUGAGAAUCCUGUUUUAAAUGUAUUUUUAUUUAGUGGAAUUGUUAGUAUGUGUCGUCCAUUUCCUUGCAACCCUCUCUUUAUUACGAACAAUUUAACUAUACGCUUGAAUACAAUUUCCCAUAAUCAUCAGCAAGUUUGAAUCUCAUCGUGUAUUUCAACCCAGUCUCACAGCUAAACGUGUAAUAAACGUGGUAUUCUCACGCUUUCUCCCCAAAAUCGUGACAAUACUACGUUUUAUUUCAGCCCAUUCAUUUACAUUGUCUUGCAACUACGUCACUAGAAACUAAUAAACUGAAGGUCUUCUACAUUCUCGGAUAGAAGAUUAUGAAAAUAUAACGCAUACUUCUCGCUAGAAAUGCCAUCGAAAUGCAUACAAAUGCUGAUGCUUUCUUAAAAUAUUGUGUUUUUCACAGAUAAUAGACUGACAGUCCGCCAUUUUCUUUUUUUUUUAGCUGAGGGAAAGUUGAUAGUCAUGUGACCUAGUUGCAAAUAAAACUGUCACGCUUUCUCCCAAAAGCAUGAGGAUACCACGUUGGUCUACAACGUAGCUAUUACACCUUUUGCUGUGAGACUGGGUUGUGUAGCUUUACUGUUUAAAAAAAAAAAAAAAUCUAUUGGAAAAGGCGGCUGGAGUUAAAGUGCGUAACACCCCUCCUGCAAAUUAUCUUCAUUGAUUUUUCCAUUACGGCAGAAGGCAGGUCGAAAUCAUUCAUCUCUGAAUGUGUCAGGCAGGAAGGAGGAGGACUCGGACCCAGAGGGUUCAGCUGAUAUUGCUUUUUAUUAAUAACAAGAAAAAACUGAAAAUCUCUUAACGAGGAAACAAAGGUCGCGAUCAAAGUUCAAAAGGAAAAAACUCAAAAUCUCUCUUAAUGAGGAAAAAGGUUGAGAUCAAAAUUCAAAAGGCAAAAACUCAAAAUCUCUCUUAA